UCAGGCCGCCAUAUCACCCUGUAGCCCAAGACUGGUUGCCCACUGAAGCUAAGCAGGGCUGAGCCUGGUCAGUACCUGGAUGGGAGACCUCCUGGGAAAACUAGGUUGCUGCUGGAA
rnacentral:rRNA from 1 species